rnacentral:rRNA from 1 species
UACGGAGGACGCAAGCGUUAUCCGGAUUUAUUGGGUUUAAAGGGUGCGCAGGUUGUUUGAUAAGUCAGUGGUGAAAGUCUGUCGCUUAACGGUAGGAUUGCCAUUGAUACUGUUGGACUUGAAUAUGGAUGAGGUAGGCGGAAUGUGUAGUGUAGCGGUGAAAUGCAUAGAUAUUACACAGAACACCGAUUGCGAAGGCAGCUUACUAAUCCAUCAUUGACGCUGAGGAACGAAAGCGUGGGGAUCAAACAGGAUUA